rnacentral:tRNA from 3 species
GAAAGAGGCCAGAGGCAAUAAGGACUGCUAAUCCCUAUCACCA